CCAGGUAAAUCGAAGUAAAUGAUUUUCUAAAGGUCAGUCUCCCUGAAAGCAUUUGGGCUUGCUCUCUCUCUCUCUCUCUCUCUCUCUCUCUCUCUCCUUUUUUAAUAUUGUGUUUUUCCAGUUGGAAAAGGAAGACAAGACUAAGAGAGUUGAACCGGGGUAGGUAGGGACAUUGUAAAAUAUGGUUUAGAGAGGUCGUGAGACUGAGUCGCUGAAAGUAUGUUUCCUCACUAUAAUAGUGAGCUGUGAACCUGUGUAUUGUAGGGAGAGAAGGGGACAGACCCUGGCAAUGAGGGGGAGGAGGUCGCCGAAUCGAGGAAGUCGAAGAGAGUUCUUUUUUUAAUUUGUUUUCCGUUCUUCGUUGUAAAUUGCUGCUAAACACUUCUGACUUUUAAAUUGCUACUAAGACGGUCCAUAAACCGUUCUCAUCCAAUUUAGUCACUUUUAUUACAUUCCUCUUUGCUUCCCCCAAUCACUGUGGCGGUUCCCAGUUUCAAUGUGGCCACAAUCGGAACCAGUGAAGGUAGAAAACUCUGGAACAGAGAUCGGCGACCGGAGCAGGAUUCAGGGCUUUAAAUUUUAACCUGAGUUCGAUCGAAUGGGACUGGCAGAAGAGCUGACCUGGCGUCCGCCUGCCAGUUAACUCCGACCAGGGUUGAAAGCUACUUUCUUUUGGGUUUUUCGUGAGUUUCCGACCAAGUUUUUAACAGACUCAGUUUUUUCAGAAGCUCAUUUGUAAGCAGUUACAGAAACGUUGUGGACAUUUGAUUUUCUUUGGGGCCAACUGUUGCCAAGUGCUUCUCAGUUUUACUCUUAAAAGCAAAGGUUUUUUUUUUUCUUUUUUCUUAAUUCAUAUCUCAGUGAGGUGAUUUCUAAUGCGGACGAGUUUUUAAAAAUCCUCUGGCUAAGUUAGAUUCCAGGAUGUGAAUGGCCUCCAAGCCUGAGCCCUGAGAAGACCCAGACCCGAACCUGAUUCCUGUUGUGUGUGUUUCUUUAUAUUAGGAAGUAUGAAGGUGUCUGAAUUUCCUUGGACAAUAGCUAAGCCCCCAGGGACGUGCUUUCCCCGCAGCUCCGCAGCAGCUGUACGAGGGUGCACCGGCCCUGACACCGCUGGGACAGACCGUGACCGACCCCACAACGUGCGGUCUCAAAUGGCUCGAGAAGGCGCCCGGGAUUUUACCUUCCAGAUUCCCAAUCUCUUUUUAACAUUGCCUAAAACAAGGGUGGGCAGUUGCAAUUUGCUCCUUUGCACGGUCACAAUUUUUUUUAGACUGGUUUUCCAACUAAAGGAAAUGAGGGGUAGUAAAAUGGUUUUUCUUUUUUUUUUCUUUUCAGUUCGCUUAAAAAUAAAACAAAACCGUUUAACCCGUAGAGUUUAUCCAGACA
rnacentral:lncRNA from 1 species